ACGAACGCUGGCGGCGUGCCUAAUACAUGCAAGUUGAGCGCUGAAGGUUGGUACUUGUACCAACUGGAUGAGCAGCGAACGGGUGAGUAACGCGUGGGGAAUCUGCCUUUGAGCGGGGGACAACAUUUGGAAACGAAUGCUAAUACCGCAUAAAAACUUUAAACACAAGUUUUAAGUUUGAAAGAUGCAAUUGCAUCACUCAAAGAUGAUCCCGCGUUGUAUUAGCUAGUUGGUGAGGUAAAGGCUCACCAAGGCGAUGAUACAUAGCCGACCUGAGAGGGUGAUCGGCCACAUUGGGACUGAGACACGGCCCAAACUCCUACGGGAGGCAGCAGUAGGGAAUCUUCGGCAAUGGACGAAAGUCUGACCGAGCAACGCCGCGUGAGUGAAGAAGGUUUUCGGAUCGUAAAACUCUGUUGGUAGAGAAGAACGUUGGUGAGAGUGGAAAGCUCAUCAAGUGACGGUAACGACCCAGAAAGGGACGGCUAACUACGU
rnacentral:rRNA from 1 species